GACGAACGCUGGCGGCGUGCUUAACACAUGCAAGUCGAACGGAAAGGCGCUGCUUUUUUGGGGUGCUCGAGUGGCGAACGGGAGAGUAACACGUGAGUAACCUGCCCUUGACUUUGGGUUAACUUCAGGAAACUGGGGCUAAUACCGGAUAGGAGCUUCUGCUGCAUGGUGGGGGUGGGAAAGUUUCGGCGGUUGGGGCUGGAGGCGCGGCUUUUCAGGUUGUUGGUGGGGUAGGGGCUGACCAAGGCUUUGACGGGUAGCCGGCCUGAGAGGGUGACCGGCCACAUUGGGACUGAGAUACGGCCCAGACGCCUACGGGAGGCAGCAGUGGGGAAUAUUGCACAGUGGGCGGAAGCCUGAUGCAGCAACGCCGCGUGCGGGAUGACGGCCUUCGGGUUGUAAACCGCUUUCGCCUGUGACGAAGCGUGAGUGACGGUAAUGGGUAAAGAAGCACCGGCUAACUACGUG
rnacentral:rRNA from 1 species